GUUCUAUCCUUGAAAACUUAUGAAGAAUUAUUUAUUAUCAAGCCCAUUAGAAAGUGGAUGCAAGUUCAAUAAGAAUUCUUCUGUUCUAUGAAGGUGUCGUAUCCAGGAAUUAAGGUAUAUUUAUUUAACAGAGUCUUUAGCCAAGGGAUGUUUGAUCUGCACUGUUGGUCAGCUGAGUCUUCACGGAUCACAGUUUGUAUGUCAUGAGAUCAGUUGGAGACCCCUGGAAUUAGUAUCUGUGCAUUCAGCAUAAUGCAGAGCUGCAACAGAAGCACAGCUUGCUAGCUCUCCAAGGGACAUCAAAUCAAUGUACCUGUAAGAAAUGAAAAAUGUCUAGACUAGACUAAAGUAGAAACGUGUUUUCAGAGAUCAAGGUAUAUAUACAUAAACUUAAUUUGUGUGGCAGUGCAAGCAAAAAUUGAAUCGGCCCAUGUGUUUCUUAAGCUUGUAAUAUAUAAUUGACUUCUGCAUAUCUGUUUCUUAAAUACUUAUAUCUGAUUAUUCUCUUUCUGUAGAGCUGAAUGCCAAACCUCCUGAAAGCCAAAGCAGAUUUUUCAGUGGACCCUGAGACGAAGGUAUA